UGAGGAAUAUUGGUCAAUGGGCGUAAGCCUGAACCAGCCAAGUAGCGUGAGGGAAGACUGCCCUAUGGGUUGUAAACCUCUUUUGUGCGGGGAUAAAGUGUGGGACGUGUCCCAUAUUGCAGGUACCGCACGAAUAAGGACCGGCUAAUUCCGUGCCAGCAGCCGCGGUAAUACGGAAGGUCCGGGCGUUAUCCGGAUUUAUUGGGUUUAAAGGGAGCGCAGGCCGUCCUUUAAGCGUGCUGUGAAAUGCCGCGGCUCAACCGUGGCACUGCAGCGCGAACUGGAGGACUUGAGUACGCACGAGGUAGGCGGAAUUCGUGGUGUAGCGGUGAAAUGCUUAGAUAUCACGAAGAACUCCGAUUGCGAAGGCAGCUUACCGGAGCGCAACUGACGCUGAGGCUCGAAAGCGCGGGUAUCGAACAGGAUUAGAUACCCUGGUAGUCCGCGCGGUAAAUGAUGGAUGCCCGCCGUUGGGAUUUGGAUUUCAGCGGCCAAGCGAAAGCGUUAAGCAUCCCACCUGGGGAGUACGCCGGCAACGGUGAAACUCAAAGGAAUUGACGGGGGCCCGCACAAGCGGAGGAACAUGUGGUUUAAUUCGAUGAUACGCGAGGAACCUUACCCGGGCUUGAAUUGCAGGAGAACGAUCCAGAGAUGGUGAGGCCCUUCGGGGCUCCUGUGAAGGUGCUGCAUGGUUGUCGUCAGCUCGUGCCGUGAGGUGUCGGCUCAAGUGCCAUAACGAGCGCAACCCCUGUCCAUAGUUGCCAUCAGGUCGUGCUGGGCACUCUGUGGAGACUGCCGCCGUAAGGUGUGAGGAAGGUGGGGAUGACGUCAAAUCAGCACGGCCCUUACGUCUGGGGCUACACACGUGUUACAAUGGGGCAUACAGCGAGUUGGAUGUGCGCAAGUACGUCCGGAUCAAUAAAGUGCCUCUCAGUUCGGACUGGGGUCUGCAACCCGACCCCACGAAGCUGGAUUCGCUAGUAAUCGCGCAUCAGCCAUGGCGCGGUGAAUACGUUCCC
rnacentral:rRNA from 1 species